rnacentral:rRNA from 1 species
CCUACGGGGGGCAGCAGUGAGGAAUAUUGGUCAAUGGACGAAAGUCUGAACCAGCCAAGUAGCGUGAAGGAUGACUGCCCUCUGGGUUGUAAACUUCUUUUAUAUGGGAAUAAAAUGUUCCACGUGUGGGAUUUUGUAUGUACCAUAUGAGUAAGGAUAGGCUAACUACGUGCCAGCAGCCGCGGUAAUACGGAGGAUCCGAGCGUUAUCCGGAUUUAUUGGGUGUAAAGGGAGCGUAGGUGGAUUGUUAAGUCAGUUGUGAAAGUUUGCGGCUCAACCGUAAAAUUGCAGUUGAAACUGACAGUCUUGAGUACAGUAGAGGUGGGCGGAAUUCGUGGUGUAGCGGUGAAAUGCUUAGAUAUCACGAAGAACUCCGAUGGCGAAGGCAGUUCACUGGACUGCAACUGACACUGAGGCUCGAAAGUGUGGGUAUCAAACAGGAUUAGAUACCCGUGUAGUC